GCGGGAAUAGCUCAGUGGUAGAGCUCCACCUUGCCAAGGUGGAUGUCGCGGGUUCGAGUCCCGUUUCCCGCU
rnacentral:tRNA from 1 species